AUUGAACGCUGGCGGCAGGCUUAACACAUGCAAGUCGAGCGGUAACAUUUCUAGCUUGCUAGAAGAUGACGAGCGGCGGACGGGUGAGUAAUACUUAGGAAUCUACCUAGUAGUGGGGGAUAGCUCGGGGAAACUCGAAUUAAUACCGCAUACGACCUACGGGAGAAAGGGGGCAACUUGUUGCUCUCGCUAUUAGAUGAGCCUAAGUCGGAUUAGCUAGAUGGUGGGGUAAAGGCCUAC
rnacentral:rRNA from 1 species